AUCUCGGUUGUCUUUACAGGACUGGGAUGCACAUGGCAGUUACUUAAAUGUGUCUCUGGGUGUUUGCAGGGGAUGUUAACUACGGGAGGACAUGUGCCCUGCACGCUGGCAGCGCCACCCCACAGGCUGGGGUGUUACAAGGGAAAGGAGAAGACCCUGGAAACUGAAGAUGGAUGAAUUCAGUACUCAACGGCUGAGUGUCUUGCCUGAACGUCUGUCUGUGCAUCGCGUGGGCCAUGCCCACAGAGGCCAGAAAAAGGAUGUUGGUUCCUAAAGGUCGUUGUGAGCUGCCAUACAGGGUCUUACUAUAUUGUCCUGGCUGGGUUAGAAAUCACUUUAUAGACCAGACUGGCCAUUGUCUCCUAAGUGCAGAGAUAAAAGAAUAAGAAACCCAAGUCCAGGUAUACCUUAAACCUCCCUUACAGCUGGAACUCCCCAUCCUGAAGUACCAGCCCUCUAUGUGGGAGACAACGUCGAAGGAAGACCUCUGUGAGAGGGCACACCAAACUGUUGAACUUGGUCCUGACUUUGAAAAGAUGGUAUUAAACAAAAAAAACCCUUUUCUUUAUGCUUGCCAUGCAAGCCACCAACACUGCAGAACUCAAUGGUUUUGCCUCAUACUCGGUUAUGUGUGUGCCGUGCAACCGUAGCCAUGACACAUUUCUACAGUGCGGUCUGGAGUCGUCACCCCAUCCCGACUCCUUCCAGAAGCAAGAAGCCACCUGCGUGCUUCUGUCGCUGUAGAUGAACUCGUCCUGGAUUUUCAUAGGGAUGAAACGAUGUGAUCUUUGGUCUCCUGGGAUUGGCUUCCACUUAUCCUAGCUGUGCUUAACGCCUUUGGCGAAAGAUCGUGUGCAAUUGGCAAGACCCCAAUCCCGUGCUUCCUGAGCUCUUCCCACUCUGUCUGUCCCCUCACCUCCGUGGGGGUAGGUGUCAAUCAGCUCCAGAGAGGAGCAGGGCGUCUGCUAGUCCUAGGUCUUGUUUUUGUGGAGUGUAGGAUCCUUGUUAUCUUUUUCUUUUCAGUAUACUAAAAAUUUUAAUUAAACCUAACAACCCCACGUCUUUGCAGGGCCAAGUAUCAUAUGGAGAACACACAUGCAACCAUCAAAUCAGGGUAACUGGCAUGUCUGUCCCAUCAAGCUUUAUUUCGGCCUCCGUCAAAAACCAAGCACCCUAACAGGGGGCCCUCACUCUCCUUUCUUGACUCCAGCAUGAAGUAUGAAGCAUUCAGGAGACUCAGAGGCAACAAAGAGCUCAGAGGGAAUAAACCGUCUUCCGAAGCUGUUGGACUGAGGCCGAAGGCUGUAAAGACUUGUUUAUUGUGUUAAGUUAGCUCCUGAGAUUUAGACCUGUUUACCCCAGCAACUAAUCUUGUUUGCUUAGACUACGAAUACGCUAAAAACACUCUUUGAAAGCC